rnacentral:lncRNA from 1 species
AGCAAUCCUACCAUGUCAGCCUUCCCAGUAGCUGGAACUACAGUUUUAAAGAAUGCUUGUGAUUACAUGGGCUCUCCUAGAUACUCCAGGAUAAUCUUGUUUUAAGGUCAGCUGAUGAGCAACAUUAAUUUUAUCUGCACUCUUAAUUCCCCCUUCCUAUGUAAUUGUGCUGUGUAACAUAGGACAUGAGCAAUUGGUGGCGGUGGGGGUUAUUACUUUGGCCACCACAGUAACUAUUUUAUGCCAGGUACUCAGCUAAGCACUGGUGAAUUAAGCAUGAAUAACACACACUCCUUAAUCUCCAUCCAUUCAUGGGAGGAGCACUUCACCUGCCAUGCUCCUGAGAAUCUCGGGAGUCAUAGAAGUCUUCUAUGAGGAGGUGAUGCCAAAGCGGACAAGUGACAGAGGAGUCAAAGCUAGCUAGGAAGAGAGUAGAGGUUUAAGGGGAAGCAUAUUAUAAGCAGAGGAUAUUACCCACUUCAGAGACUCCCAGAGGAGAAAGAGUGUGCGUUCAAGGGGCAGAUGAGGCUCAGUUGGACUCCAUAGCAGAUGUAAUGGAGAGGGGCAAGCAGUGAGGCUGCCUUGCAAGGCAGGGCAGAGCAGGGGCUGUUAAGGAGUUUGGACUUAAUCCCUGAGGCAAGGAGAAGUGAUGUAAAUGGGGGAGUAACAUGAUGAGAUUCAUAGAUUAGAGACAUGGCUCAGGCUGCUGUAGAGAAGGCACCAGGAAGAGCAGAUGGCUCAAUGUGUGUGCAGAAGACCUCUCCCUGAGUUUAGGGAGAGGUUUUUAAAACAGAAGAAGUUUGAGUAAUUUAAAUGAUGAUGGGAAGGAGCUAAAAGUGGGGGAUAGGUUAAAGAUACAGGAAAGUGGGAGGAAGAACUGACAAGUGAGGUUCCAGAGAGGGCAGGAGAAGAGGAGAUUCCCAUAGGGGGAUUAACACUUUCUUUUCUUUUUUCUUUCU